rnacentral:rRNA from 1 species
UACGAAGGGGGCUAGCGUUGCUCGGAAUCACUGGGCGUAAAGGGUGCGUAGGCGGGUUUUUAAGUCAGAGGUGAAAUCCUGGAGCUCAACUCCAGAACUGCCUUUGAUACUGGGAAUCUUGAGUAUGGAAGAGGUGAGUGGAACUGCGAGUGUAGAGGUGAAAUUCGUAGAUAUUCGCAAGAACACCAGUGGCGAAGGCGGCUCACUGGCCCGAUACUGACGCUGAGGCACGAAAGCGUGGGGAGCAAACAGG